ACAUGAAGCUGGAAUCGCUAGUAAUCGCGGAUCAGAAUGCCGCGGUGAAUACGUUCCCGGGUCUUGUACACACCGCCCGUCACACCAUGGGAGCCGGAAAUGCCCGAAGUCUGUGACCCAACCUUAGGGAGGGAGCAGCCGAAGGCAGGUCGGAUGACUGGGGUGAAGUCGUAACAAGGUACC
rnacentral:rRNA from 1 species